UAGGGAAUUUUCGGCAAUGGGGGGAACCCUGACCGAGCAACGCCGCGUGAGUGAAGAAGGUUUUCGGAUCGUAAAGCUCUGUUGUUAAGGAAGAACGAGUGUGAGAAUGGAAAGUUCAUACUGUGACGGUACUUAACCAGAAAGGGACGGCUAACUACGUGCCAGCAGCCGCGGUAAUACGUAGGUCCCGAGCGUUGUCCGGAUUUAUUGGGCGUAAAGCGAGCGCAGGCGGUUAGAUAAGUCUGAAGUUAAAGGCAGUGGCUCAACCAUUGUAGGCUUUGGAAACUGUUUAACUUGAGUGCAGAAGGGGGGAGUGGAAUUCCAUGUGUAGCGGUGAAAUGCGUAAAUAUAUUGGGGAACACCGGUGGCGAGGGCGGCUCUCUGGUCUGUAACUGACGCUGAGGCUCGAAAGCGUGGGGAGCGAACAGG
rnacentral:rRNA from 1 species